AAGUGCUGAAAUCUGAAGAAAGGAAGAGCAGUUCAUGAAUGCUUAUCUCCACAUUGUUCACUGGGCUGUCCUAACCUCCCCUGCUCCCAGAGAAUACCAGAUGGCUUUACAAUUGAGGUGGUUCAAACGCAGAAGGCCCUUUUUCCUUUCAUUACUUGCUCAGUUAUCUGAACAUUGGCCCCCACACCUGCCACCUGGCCAGCACGGCUUCUGCCUCCCUCGGCACUGCCAGGCGGGGCUUUUCUCAGAUUCAUCCUCUGGGCCACCUUCAACUCCUCUCCCUCCCUCUGCAUUAACAUCCAGGCCACCCUCAUUAGUCCUUGGCAACCUAGCUUGGGUUGGCCUCCCCAGCCAGCCUUCCAGACUGUUCUUUCUCUCCCUUGCAGCCUGUCUUGCACACCACUGUGACCAGGUCCGUCUGUCUGAGAAUACCAUUUCCUCACAUCAUGGCCCUGUUUACAAAACUGUUUCCCAUUUGCCUAUCACAUCAGAUCAAAUCGGAACUCUUCGGCUCUGGACUGAAGCCGACGCCACUGUUCCUGGCAAGCCUCGUUGCCCUUCGAUCCCGGCGUUGGCCUCCGUCCCUGUCAGGCCUCGUAUGAUGCUGCUCUCUGGCGUCCUGCCGUCUCCAGCUCUGCCUGCACGUUGCUCCUGCAUUUCUCUCCACCUCAUAAGACUCUUAUUCCACGGCUCUGGCCAGGCCAAAGCAUACAUGGCCCAGUUAGCUCCCUUUUACUUGAAAUAUUCCCUGAGGAGCCCCUAGGUAUUUUUCUUUACUCACCAGAGACUUGUAGUCAGGGCCACACUGAUAUCAUUUGGGAAUUAUUUGCAAAGUCACAGCUCUGGACUUCUCUCUCCAGCUACAUCAUGAGUUUCUCAGCUAAGUCACAGGCCCACAGUUCCUGCUGCAGCUGGUAAACACUUUCAGUCACGGAAGGAAGCCUUUUUCGGUUCUCAGCUCUGCCAAGGAACUUCUUUCAUGUACACGAAACCACCAACUGUGAGAGGAUGGCUGCCUGUAUCUUGUUCCCCCUCAUCUUUUUUUUCUUUAAAAAGAUGGUAAAGCUGAUUAUAAGAAUUUAAGUAACGUGGCCCUAGAACUACACUCUGACUCUGAGCCCUGUGUCCUGCCCACAGCACCAGGCCACGAAGACAUACCACGUCGCUACCCUCACAUUUGCUUGUAACUUAGGAGGCUUGCUAGUAAAAUCGAUGGUGACAGUGGAUGUACUUCUCUUUUAAUACAUUUAUUCUAUUUCCUUCUCCUAUUUUCUUUAUUUGUUGAAAAGAAUGUGCUGAUUGAGAAGCCAAAUAUUAUUAACCAUUUUCCCCAUCUGUCACGGUUCUUUUGCACAGCACUGGAUUAGGCCGGGAAAUCAGGAAAUAUCAGGAAAAAGAUUCUUCUAGGGAAACUCUUACUAAUCUGAAUUGAUCACUAGAAAUACAUGGUCUCUACCUAAAGGACGCUUUGUCACUUAAAAUGCCGAGUACUUGUCAUAAUGUAAGGAAACCUCCAUUGUCAUGCAACCAUUUGCACCCAGACAUUGUGCCUGGUUGCACUUAACAUUUUAUCGUUUGAUUCUUACACCAGCCCUCCAAUGUGAUGAAACCAAGGCUCCUAGGUGCUAAGUGACAUUCCCCUAGUCAUGCAGCCUAGUGGUAAAGCGGAGAUUCAAAUCUAGUUUUUGUUUUCCUUUGAGCUGGAGCUGCAA